GAUAAGAACGCAGCGAAAUGCGAUAAGUAGUGUGAAUUGCAGAAUUCAGUGAAUCAUCGAAUCUUUGAACGCACAUUGCGCCCCUUGGUAUUCCAUGGGGCAUGCCUGUUCGAGCGUCAUUUGUACCUUCAAGCUCUGCUUGGUGUUGGGUGUUUGUCUCGCCUCUGCGUGUAGACUCGCCUCAAAACAAUUGGCAGCCGGCGUAUUGAUUUCGGAGCGCAGUACAUCUCGCGCUUUGCACUCAUAACGACGACGUCCAAAAGUACAUUUUUACACUCUUGACCUCGGAUCAGGUAGGGAUACCCGCUGAACUUAAGCAUAUCAAUAAGCGGAGGA
rnacentral:misc_RNA from 1 species